CACAUGUGUCGAGUGGCAGCUCUACGGAGAGGAAAGUCGGAAUACUCAGACAAUGUCAAAUGUAACGGGUAACACCCGUCCAGUGCAAACUGAGAAGUGCGAACAGAGACGAGUCGGUGUGUAGACUGCUAGAUGGAGUCAUUCUCCCAAAUCAUAUGCGGUCUGAUCAAUCAGAUAUCUAGCAUUCUACACAUCGAGUGAAACGGCAAAAUCUUUACAUGAGUACAAGACCGUACUAAUCGUAACAAAAAUGUUAUGAUUAGAGAGUCGCAAUGAAACGAUUAGUAAUAAUCGUUCAAGAUAAAUUGCCACAUAAAACAGAAUUCCGCUUAUGGAUACAUGUGGUAG
rnacentral:RNase_P_RNA from 2 species